rnacentral:lncRNA from 1 species
UGGUCUCAUGGGGAGGUGGUAAAGGUGGACUCGGAGGGCCGUUAAAAGCACGUUAGAAACCGAGAGAAGACGGUUCCCUGCACAGGCUCGCACAGCGCACACACGGGACCGCCUGCUCCUCAGGUGCCUGGAGCAAGGAGACCCUCCCUCCCCAGCAUGGGGAGCCUCUUGCAUAAACCCACAAAAGGCCUCGUAGAUAAUCUCACGUGUCUGGACGUGGGACUCCUCACGCGUGUGUACCAGGCUCGCCGAAAUUCACUGGGAAGGCCCCGGAGGAGGAAGAGGAUAUCAGCAGCAAGAGAAGAGAAUCCCUCUUCUUUAUGGACCCUACCUUCUGUUGGGAUGGCAGACAUGAUAAAGGAACAAGAUAAAUAAGGCACGUAUAAUGCACAUUAGAGAGUGACACAUGUUGAGAAAAAUAUUAAAUUGGGAGGGAGGUGGGAAAUAGGGUUGGAGCCCUUGUGUAUCCGUCAGCUGUUGCUAUGGUGAUGCUACGUAACAAACAUCCCAAACCUCAGUCGCUUGCAAACUCUGACAUUUAUUUCUCGCUCAGGGGUUCUGCUUCAGACCUCGGGAUGGGUUUAGGUCUCCACCUGUGUCUCUGCCAGUGCUCAGACUGAGGGCAGCGUCUGCUGGGCAUUCGCUUCUUGCGGUGCAGGGUCGAACCCCCCA